GUAAAGGUGAAGGAUGGAAGCGGCAUCCUUUUAUGGAGUUUACGGAAUAAAAGAUAUAGCGUACAGCCUGACCCGGA
rnacentral:sRNA from 1 species